rnacentral:rRNA from 1 species
UGGGGAAUAUUGGACAAUGGGCGCAAGCCUGAUCCAGCCAUACCGCGUGGGUGAAGAAGGCCUUCGGGUUGUAAAGCCCUUUUGUUGGGAAAGAAAAGCAGCUGGUUAAUACCCGGUUGUUCUGACGGUACCCAAAGAAUAAGCACCGGCUAACUUCGUGCCAGCAGCCGCGGUAAUACGAAGGGUGCAAGCGUUACUCGGAAUUACUGGGCGUAAAGCGUGCGUAGGUGGUUGUUUAAGUCUGUCGUGAAAGCCCUGGGCUCAACCUGGGAAUUGCGAUGGAAACUGGGCGACUAGAGUGUGGCAGAGGAUAGUCGAAUUCCUGGUGUAGCAGUGAAAUGCGUAGAGAUCAGGAGGAACAUCCGUGGCGAAGGCGACUGUCUGGGCCAACACUGACACUGAGGCACGAAAGCGUGGGGAGCAAACAGG